AUGAACACAGACGAGCAGUCACAUUUUGCAGAACUACAUCCAAAUUCUGUGGAAGACUUCUACAAUGUUUCUUCAGGAAGCAGUUUUCCUGCUACUUCAAACCACAGACAUUCCCAACCAAGCACACUUGACACUGAAAUCCAGAAUGAUGUCAUAUUUUUGGAUGAUGCAAACCAUGCAGUUCUAGUGGAUCUCUCUGAGGUCAGUGAAUCUCAGAAUUCUGACCCUGAAAUAAUAAUAGGUGCACAGCAUUCUUCAGAGUUUGAUAUUACUUCUCUCAGUGACACACUUAUCUUUGAGCCAGAUGACAUCUCACAAAGCCCUCAGGAUGUAAUUCCAGAAGUAACCUUGGUUCUACACCAUGCAAACAGCUUCAACGAAAUGAUUGAGACAUUUUCUGAUGCUGACAUCCUAGACAAAAUCUUAAACAUCAGACGUUUACUCCCUGACAAUUCAGUUGAAAAAGCAACUGGUUCUGGUGUAGUCAGGGAUGUCUACAGCUGUUUUUGGACAGAGUUUUAUGAACGAUGCACUCUUGGAACAUCUCUGAAAGUUCCUUUUCUUAGGCAUGAUUUCUGUGCAUCUAAAUGGAAAGCAAUCGGAAGAAUUUUUCUGAAAGGAUUUAGAGACUGUCAGUAUCUGCCUAUCCGACUUGCCCCACCGUUUUUAGAACAAAUGCUGUAUGGGGAAGUCCACAGUGAUCUGAAAAAAACAUUUCUGCAGUUUGUGAGCAUGCAGGAACAUGACAUUCUAAGGAAUGCAUUGCAGGAUUUUUCAUCUGUUGAUACAGAUGAAUUAAUGGAAGUCUUGAGCACAUAUGAGUGCAGAAAAAUGGUUACUGCGGCUAAUUUGGCAGAAAUUUUGGAUGAAAUUUCGCACAAGGAACUUGUGCAGAAACCAAUGUUUGUCAUUGACUGCUGGCAAGAAGUCACAAAAUCACAUGUAAACCUAAGCCCAGAGGAGUUGACCAAAACAUACAGUGACCCCCAACCAACACCAAGAAAAGAUGUUGCCCUCUUAAACUUUCCGUCUGUGAUGACACCAAAACAAACAGAGGUGUCACAACACCUGAAAAGGUACAUUAGAGAGCUGAGUGAGGAAAAGCUCUCCAUGUUCUUAAGAUUUUGCACUGGCUCAGAUGUGUUAUGCAGAAACAACAUCAAAAUUGAUUUCACCAGUCAAACUACUUACACAAGAAGGCCGAUCGCACAUACCUGUGGGAUGGUUCUGGAACUCUCUGAAAGCUACGACCAUUUUCCUGACUUCCGGAGUGAGUUUAACUCAAUUCUGGAGAGCAACAUCUGGAUAAUGGAUAUUGUGUGA
rnacentral:lncRNA from 1 species